GGCGCGUGCGGGGCAGCCUGGGGGCCACGCGGGCCUCGGGAUGGCGUCGGGCCACGCCCUGCACCUGCUGUGCGGGUUUGGGAGGCGGUGUCCUCUCUCACAGGAUCAAAAGCUCAUAGGACAGAAACACAAGUGCCGCUCUUACAAGCAGUCCAACAGGGAAACAACAAAGAAAAACCAACGGACGCACACAUUUUAAGUCAGGUUACGGUGUUUGGUGAGCGGUGGUCGUCAACCUGACCGCACUUUGGAAUCACUUGGGCACCUUUCAAAAACAUCACUGCCCCAGCGCCACCCCUAGAGGGUCUGAGGGCUGGCUGCUUUAAAAAGCCAUCCAGUAGGGGACAGCUGACCCCACGUCAGCCCCUCUCAAGCCAGGAACCAAGGGUAACGAUGUCUGGAGAGACUCCUUCGUACCCGGCAAGGAUGGGACGCCAACUGCGUGGGUAAGAAACAGGUUAGCAGCAGCCAGUUGCAGGCAGUGCCCGGAGACUAUGCUGGGGAAAGCAGAGAGGCCACAGUGACGGAGGACCCGCAGUGAUCUCUGCUGGGGAAAGCAGAAAGGCCACAGUGACGGAGGACCCGCAGUGAUCUCUGCUGGGGAAAGCAGAAAGGCCACAGUGACGGAGGACCCGCAGUGAUGGAGAAAGGAGGCCACAAGAUUCGCCUUCCGAGUGUCUGGCUCACGUUCUAGUUGAAAUUGAUGGGGACACGACAUUUACAGGCAUGUGAGUGAUGGGCAAAUCCAGCUUCACAUCAAGCGCAUCUCUGCCAUUUCCUGAUCUGAAAUCCAUGAUCUGGAGCAUUGCAGGGAUGCACCACUUCUGCACAACUUGUUUUCCACCGAUCCACGGUUUUCCUUCCUCCCAUUGCGCAGAGGUCACGUGAAAGGCGGGCCACAUGGUAUGUGACGGAUGGUAUUAUCUACUGGGAACUCUGAGAACUUGUGGAAUAAGAAAGAACAGGCUUCAUUCAUCACUGAAUGCUUGUAGAGUAACACGGUUGAACUCUUCUGUUACAUUAAAAGUGGGAUUUUUUUUUCUGGAAGUCUGAUAGAAAACCAAGCGAAAACAAAAAUGCAAAGUGGUUUCCUUGUUUGCAAAGGAACAGUAGGAACUUAAUAAGUCCUCUUGUUAGGCUGUCACAAAACCUCAAAAGGCACUUGUCCAAAUCAUGAUUGUAUGCAAAAUCAUAAAUCAUACCCUGAUUCAUUUAAUAACUUU